rnacentral:rRNA from 1 species
UACAGAGGUCUCGAGCGUUGUUCGGAUUCAUUGGGCGUAAAGGGUGCGUAGGUGGUCUGGUAAGUCGGAUGUGAAAUCCCGGAGCUUAACUUCGGAACUGCAUUCGAUACUGCCGGACUGGAGUACUGGAGAGGAGAUCGGAAUUUACGGUGUAGCAGUGAAAUGCGUAGAUAUCGUAAGGUAGACCAGUGGCGAAGGCGGAUCUCUGGACAGUUACUGACACUGAGGCACGAAGGCCAGGGGAGCAAACGGG